rnacentral:rRNA from 2 species
AAAACGACUCUCGGCAACGGAUAUCUCGGCUCUUGCAUCGAUGAAGAACGUAGCGAAAUGCGAUACUUGGUGUGAAUUGCAGAAUCCCGUGAACCAUCGAGUCUUUGAACGCAAGUUGCGCCCCAAGCCGUUAGGCCGAGGGCACGCCUGCCUGGGUGUCACGC